ACAAACUUGGUCAUUUAGAGGAAGUAAAAGUCGUAACAAGGUCUCCGUUGGUGAACCAGCGGAGGGAUCAUUACCGAGUUUACAACUCCCAAACCCCUGUGAACAUACCUAUCGUUGCUUCGGCGGGAUCGCCCCGGUGCCCUCGGGCCCGGACCCAGGCGCCCGCCGGAGGACCUAAACUCUUGUCUUUAUACGUAUCUUCUGAGUAAACAAGCAAAUAAAUUAAAACUUUCAACAACGGAUCUCUUGGUUCUGGCAUCGAUGAAGAACGCAGC
rnacentral:misc_RNA from 1 species